UUCAUGUAUAUAUGCGCGCGCACGAAGCGUCACACGAGCAGCACAGAGAAUGCGAGUGUAAAAGAGAAAGAAAUCAUGCAGUGUGACAGCAAGUACAAUAAAACAACGCUGCGUACAACUCCGUCACGAAAGGCCUAUUGUUCCACUGCAUAUACGCUGUGAGAAACAAAGCAACAAAGAGCAAAUUCCAGCGCGAGUUGACACCAAACAAACCAUGUUCCAGUCUAAGAAGCCACGGAAGAACUGCCGAAGAGAGAGAGAACAUACACAUACACACUGUAGGGGCAGAGGAUAACAGAUGUACCUCAUGAACGAGUAAAGUUGUCACUAGUUGAAGAA